CUCGAUAUUUUUUUCCGCCUCCUGACACUGUUCGAUUUUUUUUUUGUCAGUCAGAGGACUUGCACGAUAUUUUUUUGUAUGCAUGUAUAUACAUUUUUUAUUUUUUAUUUUUUUUGGUAUAUAAUAGGUAAUUGGACAAGUAUUGGUGUAAGACAUUGUGUAGUCUAAAUAAUGAGAGGACCAGUAUUCAAAAAAUGGUUGUUCUUUAUUUCUUUACUCCGACUCCUAUGAUGAACAUGUACGUAAAAAACUAGGGAAACUACGAUUAUAUAUAGAAACUAAAGUAGGUGAAAUUUUUAUGGGAUUCCAUAAAAGGUGAGGAUAUAAGAGUGAGAGAUUGAAAUUGAGUAGGAAAGGCAACCCUACACGCGUUUCGACCUAACAGUCUUCUUCAGCAGGGGUUUUUAAAGGGGAGAGGGGGUAUAUAGAAUUUGCAGAGGUGAAGAAAGGAGAGUUUAGGAGUUCGGAAAAUAAUGUGAACUUGGAUCCUCUACGUAGCAAAAUCCACACCAGAACUAGCUAUAGCUAUCUAUUUGUCAUAUCGUAUCAUUCAUUUACUAAUCUCUGUUUUGGUUUUUGUUAUAUAUGUACAUGUUUUAGUUAUUGUAUAUUCAUAUAUUUUAAACAAAAAUCAAACCCUGCACGGGGUUAUAAUUAUUUUUAUCCCUUAUGUAUCACUAAUUGCCAAAUGCCCCUAUCCCUGUCUUAUAAGCUCCUACACCACUAACACCAUAUUUGGAUGCAAUCACCUACAGUCACAUGAUCACCCUUACCAUCACAAUCAUUCAAACUCACUAUACCAUUGAGUAAUUUAACCUGCAAAUUUGCUUCACUUCACCAAUACGAACGAUGAACAAUAAAGUGCGUAGUGUUGGAAUGUCCCGCAAACAACAAGACCUUUGGUAGGAUAACUUGACUAAUAACAUGUAUAAUAGUUACAUCCUUUCACUGUGUAAUUGGUUAUUUUCAGUUAUUUCGUAAUAAUUUGUUUUCCUCUUGGUCUCACAUUAUUUUCCGAACUCCUAUAAACUCUCCUUCCUUCUCCUCUUCAAAUUAUAUCAACCCCCCCCCUCCUCUUAAAAAAACCCUGCAGGCUGAAGAAAACUGUUAGAUCGAAACGCAUACCCCUGCACGCUAUUCCUACUCAAUUUCAAUCUCUCGCUCUUAUAUCCUCGCCUUUGAUCGUGUCCCAUAAAAAUUUCACCUAUUUUGGUUUCUACGGCCGUGAUUUAAACGUGAUUUUUAAAUUUAGAGUCUCUGAAAUGCCAUUUCCUGGACCCUGCAGCCCCCCGGUUGCUACAUACGGCCCUGGGCUACACGCGGAAAUGCACCGAAUGGCAAAUAAGGAUUACCACUCGAAAGUCUUGCACGAUAUUUUUUUU